rnacentral:rRNA from 1 species
GGUGGAUUAGUGGCGAACGGGUGAGUAACACGUGGGCAAUCUGCCCUUCACUCUGGGACAAGCCCUGGAAACGGGGUCUAAUACCGGAUACAACCACUGACCGCAUGGUCGGGUGGUGGAAAGCUCCGGCGGUGAAGGAUGAGCCCGCGGCCUAUCAGCUUGUUGGUGAGGUAAUGGCUCACCAAGGCGACGACGGGUAGCCGGCCUGAGAGGGCGACCGGCCACACUGGGACUGAGACACGGCCCAGACUCCUACGGGAGGCAGCAGUGGGGAAUAUUGCACAAUGGGCGAAAGCCUGAUGCAGCGACGCCGCGUGAGGGAUGACGGCCUUCGGGUUGUAAACCUCUUUCAGCAGGGAAGAAGCGAAAGUGACGGUACCUGCAGAAGAAGCGCCGGCUAACUACGUGCCAGCAGCCGCGGUAAUACGUAGGGCGCAAGCGUUGUCCGGAAUUAUUGGGCGUAAAGAGCUCGUAGGCGGCUUGUCACGUCGAUUGUGAAAGCCCGAGGCUUAACCUCGGGUCUGCAGUCGAUACGGGCUAGCUAGAGUGUGGUAGGGGAGAUCGGAAUUCCUGGUGUAGCGGUGAAAUGCGCAGAUAUCAGGAGGAACACCGGUGGCGAAGGCGGAUCUCUGGGCCAUUACUGACGCUGAGGAGCGAAAGCGUGGGGAGCGAACAGGAUUAGAUACCCUGGUAGUCCACGCCGUAAACGGUGGGAACUAGGU